AUAAUAUGGAACAAAACAAGUGCUUAUAAGAAAAGCUUAAUUGGGAAACCGGUGUAAGUCCGGUGCGGUCCCGCCACUGUAAAGGGUAGUAGUCUUACAAGAUGUCACUGGAUUUAAUAAUCCGGGAAGGCGUAAGACAAUGUUAACCCCUGAGCCAGGAGACCGGCUUGUUUGAUAGUCGCCGCC
rnacentral:ncRNA from 20 species